GUACACGCUGUGACUAGCAUAUCAAUAAGCGGAGGAAAAGAAACUAACAAGGAUUCCCCUAGUAACGGCGAGUGAAGCGGGAAGAGCUCAAAUUUGAAAUCUUAAAGGGUUUCCCUUUACGAAUUGUAGUUUAAAGAAGUGUUUUCCUGUUGAGGUUUUGGUAAAAGUUCUUUGGAAUAGGACAUCAUAGAGGGUGAGAAUCCCGUAUUUGACCUUUACUUUCAACUUUGUGAUACACUUUCAAAGAGUCGGAUUGCUUGGGAAUGCAGUCCAAAAUGGGUGGUAAAUUUCAUCUAAAGCUAAAUAUUGGCGAGAGACCGAUAGCGAACAAGUACCGUGAGGGAAAGAUGAAAAGAACUUUGAAAAGAGAGUUAAACAGUACGUGAAAUUGUCAAAAGGGAAGCGUUUGACACCAGUGUUGUUUUUCUGAAAAUCAAUUAAAGAACUGUUUAUGCUAAGCUGUUUAGACUUUAUCAGCUAUCUGUUUAGUUUUGAGCCUUUUCUUUAAUGCACUUUUCAGUUAACAAGUCAACAUCAAUUUCUUUUGCUGUAAAAAAGCUUGAGGAAGGUGGCUUGAGAUUCGUCUUAAGUGUUUAUAGCCUCUUGCCUAUGCAGUCGGAGAGAUUGAGGUCUGCAGCGUAGAUCCUUCGGGGCUAAAUGCAUUUGUGCUAAGUUAUAGCAUUUUAUAGACAACUUGUUGACUAUGAUUUGUCUUGUAGCUUACUCGCUUAUGUUAUUUUACCUACGCUUAGGAUGUUGAAGUCAUCGUAUCGCGC
rnacentral:rRNA from 1 species